UACGUAGGGACCAAGCGUUGUUCGGAUUUACUGGGCGUAAAGGGCGCGUAGGCGGCGUGUUAAGUCAGCUGUGAAAUCUCCAAGCUUAACUUGGAACGGUCAGCUGAUACUGAUGUGCUAGAGUGCAGAAGGGGCAACCGGAAUUCUUGGUGUAGCGGUGAAAUGCGUAGAUAUCGAGAGGAACACCUGCGGCGAAGGCGGGUUGCUGGGCUGACACUGACGCUGAGGCGCGAAAGCUAGGGGAGCGAACGGG
rnacentral:rRNA from 1 species